rnacentral:rRNA from 1 species
GACGAACGCUGGCGGCGUGCUUAACACAUGCAAGUCGAACGGAAAGGCCCUGCUUUUGUGGGGUGCUCGAGUGGCGAACGGGUGAGUAACACGUGAGUAACCUGCCCUUGACUUUGGGAUAACUUCAGGAAACUGGGGCUAAUACCGGAUAGGAGCUCCUGCUGCAUGGUGGGGGUUGGAAAGUUUCGGCGGUUGGGGAUGGACUCGCGGCUUAUCAGCUUGUUGGUGGGGUAGUGGCUUACCAAGGCUUUGACGGGUAGCCGGCCUGAGAGGGUGACCGGGCACACUGGGGCUGAGAUACGGCGCAGACUCCUCCGCGGGGCAGCGGUGGGGGAUAUUGUGCAAUGGGGGGGGGCGUGAGGCAGCAACGCCGCGUGCGGGAGGUGGGGCUUUGGGGGGUAUAACGCGUUUUCCUGUGACGAAGCGUGAGUGACGCGAAUGUGGAUAGAGGCGCCCGCGAUCUACGUG